GAUGAACGCUAGCGGGAGGCCUAAUACAUGCAAGUCGAGCGGUAGAGUGACUUCGGUUGCUUGAGAGCGGCGAACGGGUGAGUAACGCGUACACAAUCUACCUUUAAGAGGGGAAUAGCCCUGGGAAACUGGGAUUAAUGCCCCAUGGCAUCACGAGACGGCAUCGUUUUGUGAUUAAAGCUGAGGUGCUUAGAGAUGAGUGUGCGUCUGAUUAGCUAGUCGGUGCGGUAACGGCGCACCAAGGCGACGAUCAGUAGGGGGCGUGAGAGCGUGGACCCCCACACGGGUACUGAGACACGGACCCGACUCCUACGGGAGGCAGCAGUAAGGAAUAUUGGUCAAUGGAGGAAACUCUGAACCAGCCAUCCCGCGUGCAGGAAGAAUGCCCUAUGGGUUGUAAACUGCUUUUAUCUGGGAAGAAAAGUCGGGAUUUAUCCUGAUCUGACGGUACCAGAGGAAUAAGCACCGGCUAACUCCGUGCCAGCAGCCGACGG
rnacentral:rRNA from 1 species